rnacentral:tRNA from 1 species
GCCGGUUUGGUGAAAUUGGUAGACACGAUAGAUUCAAAAUCUAUUGGGGGCAACCCCGUCUCGGUUCAAGUCCGAGAACCGGUA